GUACAGAUCCAGGGGGACAUCACCCAGCUGUCCACUGCCAAGGAGAUCAUCCAGCACUUUAAGGGCUGCCCUGCGGACCUAGUGGUGUGUGACGGGGCUCCUGAUGUAACCGGCCUCCAUGAUGUUGAUGAGUAUAUGCAGGCCCAGCUCCUCCUAGCCGCUCUGAACAUUGCUACACAUGUCCUGAAGCCAGGGGGCUGCUUUGUGGCCAAGAUAUUCCGAGGCCGGGAUGUGACACUCCUCUACAGCCAGCUGCAGGUCUUCUUCUCCAGCGUGCUGUGUGCCAAGCCCAGGAGCAGCCGGAACUCCAGCAUCGGUCAGUGGGGUGGAGGGGCCAGGCAGGCAGAGGGGGAUCUCUGGGACGCCGACUGCACAAGGAGGAAGUGGCAGUCACGCCUCACUCCACCUUCCCCCGGCAGAGGCCUUCGCUGUCUGUCAGGGCUAUGACCCUCCCGAGGGCUUCAUCCCGGACCUGAGCAAACCCCUGCUGGACCAUUCUUACGACCCAGAUUUCAACCAGCUGGAUGGUCCCACCCGCAUCAUUGUGCCUUUUGUGACCUGUGGGGACCUGAGCUCCUAUGAUUCGGACCGCAGUUACCCACUGGACCUAGAGGGCAGCUCAGAGUACAAGUACACUCCACCCACACAGCCCCCCAUCUCACCACCAUACCAGGAGGCCUGCACGUUGAAGAAGAAGGGGCAGCUGGCCAAGGAGAUCCGCCCCCAGGACUGCCCCAUCAGCAGAGUGGACACGUUUUCCCAGCCCCUGGCCGCCCCUCAGUGCCACACCCUGCUGGCCCCUGAGGUCUGGAAAUGUGACUCUCAGCCUGCCUUGACCCCUUCCCCGUGUGCCUUUUUCUGACCCAAAUCUCAUGGUUUCUGGGGCCAAAAUUCCCUUUCCUGCCUCCCAAUAGCUAUAAAAAAUUGGUAAAGCCAAGCAUAAUGAAUGGAAAAGUUUUGCCAAA
rnacentral:sRNA from 1 species